UACGUAGGGGGCGAGCGUUGUCCGGAAUCAUUGGGCGUAAAGCGCGUGUAGGCGGUUCAGUAAGUCUGCUGUGAAAGUCCAGGGCUCAACCCUGGGAUGCCGGUGGAUACUGCUGAACUAGAGUGCGGAAGAGGCGAGUGGAAUUCCCGGUGUAGCGGUGAAAUGCGCAGAUAUCAGGAGGAACACCGGUGGCGAAGGCGGGUCUCUGGGCCGUAACUGACGCUGAGACGCGAAAGCGUGGGGAGCAAACAGG
rnacentral:rRNA from 1 species